GACAGAGGUGCCAAGCGUUAGGCGGAAUCACUGGGCUUAAAGCGUGUGUAGGCGGAGUGCUAAGUACCUUGUGAAAUCCCACGGCUCAACCGUGGAACUGCCUCGGAUACGGGCGGUCUCGAGGGGGGUCGGGGCACGCGGAACUGUGGGUGGAGCGGUGAAAUGCGUUGAUAUCCACAGGAACGCCGGUGGCGAAGGCGGCGUGCUGGACCCCAUCUGACGCUGAGGCGCGAAAGCCAGGGGAGCAAACGGG
rnacentral:rRNA from 1 species